CAAACGGAGAGUUUGAUCCUGGCUCAGGAUGAACGCUGGCGGCGUGCUUAAUACAUGCAAGUCGAACGA
rnacentral:rRNA from 1 species